CCCUGGUAGGCCCCACCACCUACUUUCCCAAGAGGCAGAAGCGCUGCUCCUUAUCAGAGGUGGAAAGGUUAACCAGAUGUGCUUCCACCAGAUCGACUAGUUCGUCUUCAUCCUUCAAGUCUUUUCUCACGUAAAACUAAGGCUGCAGUUUCAGUACCGCUGUCCCGAAGCUUCCUCUGUUCUGCAGGAACAUGGGGACUCACUGUUGUUGGAUUUGUUCCAGGGAAGAACACUCUAACAGCCUGACUCCACCUGACUCCCACCACAGUGCAAUACAGGUAUCCUAGACAAAUAACCAAGACUUGGCUCGUACUGCUGCUGUUUGGUACAAUCUGAGUGAUCCAGUGGUACAGCUUUUUCUGGCCAAAUAAUCUGAUCUGAUGGGGGAAACCCGCCAAAGCUGCAAUUUACCGACUUAAAACUCUGACUGUUUGGGCUUCUGGGAAAGAAAAACUAAGUGGUCCUCUGUUUCCCCCUGUUCCGCGUAGCUGCAUUACCUUGCUGCGUGGAGUCUAUGGAGGGCUGGUUGCAGUCCUGAGCG